UGGGCUAUCGCCAAGCGGUAAGGCCCAGGACUUUGACUCCUGCAUUCGUUGGUUCAAAUCCAACUAGCCCAG
rnacentral:tRNA from 1 species